GGCGAACGGGUGAGUAAUACGUGAGUAACCUGCCUUUGACUCUGGGAUAAGCCUGGGAAACUGGGUCUAAUACCGGAUAUGACAAGGAACCGCAUGGUUUUUUGUGGAAAGGGUUUGUACUGGUUUUAGAUGGGCUCACGGCCUAUCAGCUUGUUGGUGGGGUAAUGGCUCACCAAGGCGACGACGGGUAGCCGGCCUGAGAGGGUGACCGGCCACACUGGGACUGAGACACGGCCCAGACUCCUACGGGAGGCAGCAGUGGGGAAUAUUGCACAAUGGGCGCAAGCCUGAUGCAGCGACGCCGCGUGAGGGAUGACGGCCUUCGGGUUGUAAACCUCUUUCAGCAGGGAAGAAGCGAAAGUGACGGUACCUGCAGAAGAAGCGCCGGCUAACUACGUGCCAGCAGCCGCGGUAAUACGUAGGGCGCGAGCGUUGUCCGGAAUUAUUGGGCGUAAAGAGCUUGUAGGCGGUUUGUUGCGUCUGCUGUGAAAGACCGGGGCUUAACCCCGGUAUUGCAGUGGGUACGGGCAGACUAGAGUGCAGUAGGGGAGACUGGAAUUCCUGGUGUAGCGGUGAAAUGCGCAGAUAUCAGGAGGAACACCGAUGGCGAAGGCAGGUCUCUGGGCUGUAACUGACGCUGAGAAGCGAAAGCAUGG
rnacentral:rRNA from 1 species